rnacentral:lncRNA from 1 species
UUCGACACUACUAUUAUUUCUUGAUAGGCAAGACAAUUGCCAGCACAAGGCAAUUAUUUCUCUACUCAGUGCUCUUUUGUUUUUCAAGUCCGGUCCUUUAUUCAUCUUUUCUUCUUUGUCUCUCAUUAUUGUAUUUUCUUUUUUCAGAAUCGACAAUACCAACAGAGUAAGUUCGAAUCUGCAACAGCAAAGGAUAUUCAAACCCACGAACCUUGAGCCAUGGAGAUCGUUGUUUUGGCAUUGAAUUUGGCCGUAGUUUGAAGCUUCCUGUCGUAGGCGUCGCUACCUAUCAUGUGUUUGUUUUUGCUUUGUGCACUCUUGUUGAAAGAUUCAUAUCUCGAGCUAGGAGACUCUAAAUUGCGAUCCAUUUGCGCCAUUAGAAAGUACACUCAUAGAGCUGCAAUACAUAGGAGUUUCGUUGCAGAACCCCUUCCGAACUAGAAACAGAAAAUUCUCAAAGUCCACUAGCUGCAGCAACUUUUAAAUUUGUGUACCUUUAGCGAAAACAAUUGUCUCUUGAGCUAGGACUAUCGGAAUUACAAUCCGUUUGUGCUGUUGGAAAGAAAACUCCUAGAGCUGAAUAACAUAAAAAUUCUAUCCCGGAACUCUUCUCGUGAUAGAAAUAGAAAAAUAUUGAAAGUCGAACUGACUGCAGGGAACUUUCAUGUUUGUGUGCUUUCGGCCAGAAAAAUUGUAUUGUUGAACUAGGAGCGUCAAAAUCACCAAUAGUUUGAUCUUAUGAAAUUCUGACGUCGAGAACUAUACUCUUGUUGAAGAUGAAGCUCCAUUCAUUCUUAGUUAGCCUAACAAAUAUUUUUGAAGUUGAUUCUACAGCCUUGUAAUGGAUUCGGCUAUCAUCACGAAUCUUAUCUCUUUGUUUAUUUCUUUUGCAGAUCUGCGAAAAAAUUCAAUGAGUCUAGAUAUAAGUUUGAGAUGUCAUACAAGAUGCGAAGUCACCCCUUCACCAAUUGUUGCACUUGAUUUGUUGAUGGUCUUGAAGUUUAUCAAUAGCGGCUCCCGUGGUGAUUGAAGGUUUUUUAAGAUAGAUGACUUCUUAUAUACGAGGCAUUGAGGAUAGCGUAUUAAAAUGUGGAGACGUCAUAUAGACUUUGAAGAAGCAUUCAAGAUGAGUCGGUAUCCUAGUUUAUGAUCAUUUUCAUGACUUAGGCUUUUGUAUAGGAAAACGUCUGAUUCCUUUUGUCUCUACAUUUUUUGAUGUAUCAACUUUUGUACUAUUGAAGAUUUAAAACAUCUUUUAUACUUCAAAGCAAAUCGUCUCUUUUCUUCAUAGAUAUGUGCCUCUACACUUGGAAGAAUUAAUGUAAUGAUCUGAUGACGCCAAACUUUUAUUUUUUUUAAAA